UUGGAGGGCAAGUCUGGUGCCAGCAGCCGCGGUAAUUCCAGCUCCAAUAGCGUAUAUUAAAGUUGUUGCAGUUAAAAAGCUCGUAGUUGAAUUUCGGGGUCAGUAGGUCGGUCGUGCCACUGGUAUGAACUGGUUUUACUGAUUCCCCCCUCUUGAAGAACUGUAAUGCCAUUAAUUUGGUGUUGCAGGGAAUCAGGACUGUUACUUUGAAAAAAUUAGAGUGUUUAAAGCAGGCUUUAGCUUGAAUACAUUAGCAUGGAAUAAUGAAGUAGGACGUUUGAUCCUAUUUUGUUGGUUUCUAGGAUUGACGUAAUGAUUAAUAGGGAUAGUUGGGGGCAUUAGUAUUCAAUUGUCAGAGGUGAAAUUCUUGGAUUUAUUGAAGACUAACUACUGCGAAAGCAUUUGCCAAGGAUGUUUUCAUUAAUCAAGAACGAAAGUUAGGGGAUCGAAGACGAUCAGAUACCGUCGUAGUCUUAACCAUAAACUAUGCCGACUAGGGAUCGGAUGAUGUUAAUUUUUUAAUGACUCAUUCGGCGCCUUACGGGAAAC
rnacentral:rRNA from 1 species